rnacentral:lncRNA from 1 species
UUAUUACACACAUAUGCAAUUUCCCUCACCAAUCAAUAUGAACUCCUUGACCUCCUUUCAAAUCCGCAUUGAUUCCUUUCAAUCCAUAUUGUAUGCACCAAUUCUGUAUAUGCUAUCUUGAAUACCUGAGCUCUCUGUGAUUUACCCUUUGCUCUUGAAUGAUCUAAUUCUCCACUUGUUCCCAUUGUGUUGUCCUGAAACUAGCAACCUUUAUCCAUUUUAGCACACCUUCCUAGACUUUGGUAGAAUACAUUUCAAGAAGAGAUGGUUUCUUGCUUCAUUGUGACUAUUACAUAGAUUGCAGACAUGAUCAACAUGUAUACCCUAGGAGGCAAUUAUGUCAACAGUCAGAAGUUUUCCCUGUAUCUGUAGUCAUAUUGUAAAUUGAGCUUUUGGACGAGCAUCAUUUCCAAAUUUCAGUGUCUUCUAUGAAAUCCUCUCAUUGUUCCCAAUUAGCUGAAGAUAUAUCUGCUUAAUUAAACUACCGACAGUUUUUUUUUUUGAAUUAGUGCCAAUGUAUUUUCUAGCCUCAAACAUUUUCCCUACCAUCAACCAGCCUGUAGAGGAGUAUCCAUUUGACCAAAUUGCUGAUUUUUGAUGUAGAAUGCAUGCAACCAUCUGAUCGAUAGCAUGUUUGUCUUAUGUUCAAUGUCCCAACUAGCUUUGUUAUUGUAGUUUUGUUCUAUAGUCUCAUGUUUAUCAAGCCUACUCCAUCUAUUGACUUUGGAGUACAAUAGAACAAGGGAUCAGGAUCCUUGGUAAUUAUGCUUUAGGGAUCAGGUAAAAUACAAGGGCUUGGCAGAGGUCGGUUCAUAUGCAACAGACGGAAAGUAUUGGGUUCGAAUGAGAAGAGGUAUUUUCUGGGUUAAGGUUUACAAACAAAGCGGUUGGUCAAGGGGAAAACAGGGUCUUCAAAUGAAAAUCAAUCAUCAUGACAAGUGAAGGAGCAACAGACCUCAAGGUCAUGGCCAUUGGUUCAAGUCAAUUAAAAAAAAAACAGCAUACACAUGGAGUGGGGGCAAGGGACGUGGUUUAAGAUUCAUGUGGGACACAAAGGUUGGGAAGAUGUCAGUUCAUCAGCAAUGCAACAAAUAGAGGAUAUUGGGUCUGAACGGAGAAGAGAUAUAUUCUGUGAUAAGAGCGACAGAGAAGUUGGUCAGCUAAUAAGCAAGCCAUGUCUUUCAAGGUGAAAUCAAAGUUGCCAUGGCAAGUGAAGAGCGCAACACAAAGAUGGGAAAGGCCGAAGUCUGAACGGAGAAGAGGUAUUUUGUGUGAUAAGAGCGACAGAGAAGUUGGUCAGCUAAUAAGCAAGUCAUGUCUUUCAAGGUGAAAUCAAAGCUGCCAUGGCAAGUGAAAAAAUGCAACACGAGAAUGGGGAAGGUCGAAAGGGUCAGCCAAGCAUCGUAAACUGGUCGGAUAACCUCAGGAAAGGAUGCGAGAAUUUUAUCAAAGGGUCGGAAAUGCAACACAAAAAUGAGGAGCAGAGUGAAGGUACAUGGGUCAGAGGGUCAGCCAAGCACAAUACAUUGACUUGGAAAUCUUGAGAAAGGUGCAAGGAUUCUGGCAAAAAGGAUAGAAAUGUAACACAAUUAUGGGGAGCAAAGUAAAGCCGUAAAUGUUAGAGGUGUCAGCCAACUAACUCAGGCAACUCAUCAUCGAUAUGGAAAUUUGAACACAACAGAACAUUACAAUGAGGAGGCCGCUUCCAACAAGAAUCCCGCAAGCCAACCACAACUUUUCAACUGACAAGUUUUCUUUGAUUAAAACAGGUGCAGAAAAAUUCCAGAAGAACCUAAGGGAGGCCAUCCACAGGGGAAGUCCGGCACGACAGGUAUGAUCAAAAUCUCAGUAUGUACAUGGAAGUGGUACUAAGUUAAAAUUCCAAAGGGACAUAGUCCGUUAUAAACAUCCUCCUCAGCAAAGAGCACAAUGGGACACACUUUAAUUAGCAAAAAUCUAGUAGAAACAACCAAUGGUUAAAAUAGGCGUAAAAGUUGAGAUGGAACACAUUUUAAAUCUUAAGCAGGGGCGAGUAACAUAGGCAAGCUCCAACACCUCCCCAGUAAGAGUCGCAGAAACAACCUAAAAUUAGAACUGGCAUUUAAGUUGAAACCCUCAGGACCCUCCUGGAAAAUGGGACUUAUUUAAAGGUUAGAUAUAAUCAUGGAUAGCAAAG